ensembl:miRNA mir-265 ncRNA
GGUUUGACUUACCCCCUCCUUCCGCUGGCCGCCGUUUUUAUUAUGAACUUGAUGUGGUUUGAGGGAGGAAGGGUGGUAUUUGAACC